rnacentral:piRNA from 2 species
AUUUAAAAUAAAUUACUGGACUGUGG